UACGGAGGAUGCGAGCGUUAUCCGGAUUUAUUGGGUUUAAAGGGUGCGUAGGCGGGCAUUUAAGCCGGCGGUCAAAUGUCGGGGCUCAACCCCGGCCUGCCGUCGGAACUGGGUGCCUUGAGUGGGCGAGAAGUAUGCGGAAUGCGUGGUGUAGCGGUGAAAUGCAUAGAUAUCACGCAGAACCCCGAUUGUGAAGGCAGCAUACCGGCGCCCGACUGACGCUGAGGCACGAAAGUGCGGGUAUCGAACAGG
rnacentral:rRNA from 1 species